GGAAACUGGGGCUAAUACCGGAUAGGAGCUCCUGCUGCAUGGUGGGGGUUGGAAAGUUUCGGCGGUUGGGGAUGGACUCGCGGCCUAUCAGCUUGUUGGUGGGGUAGUGGCUUACCAAGGCUUUGACGGGUAGCCGGCCUGAGAGGGUGACCGGCCACAUUGGGACUGAGAUACGGCCCAG
rnacentral:rRNA from 1 species